GAGUUUGAUCCUGGCUCAGGACGAACGCUGGCGGCGUGCUUAACACAUGCAAGUCGAACGGAGCACCCUUGAAAGAGAUUUCGGUCAAUGGAGAGGAAUGCUUAGUGGCGGACGGGUGAGUAACGCGUGAGGAACCUGCCUUUCAGUGGGGGACAACAGUUGGAAACGACUGCUAAUACCGCAUAACAUAUGGAUGUCGCAUGGCAGCCAUAUCAAAGAUUUAUCGCUGAGAGAUGGCCUCGCGUCUGAUUAGCUAGUUGGUGGGGUAACGGCCCACCAAGGCGACGAUCAGUAGCCGGACUGAGAGGUUGGCCGGCCACAUUGGGACUGAGAUACGGCCCAGACUCCUACGGGAGGCAGCAGUGGGGAAUAUUGGGCAAUGGGCGCAAGCCUGACCCAGCAACGCCGCGUGAAGGAAGAAGGCUUUCGGGUUGUAAACUUCUUUUGACAGGGAAGAGCAGAAGACGGUACCUGUCGAAUAAGCCACGGCUAACUACGUGCCAGCAGCCGCGGUAAUACGUAGGUGGCAAGCGUUGUCCGGAUUUACUGGGUGUAAAGGGCGUGUAGCCGGGCUGACAAGUCAGAUGUGAAAUCCGGGGGCUCAACCCCCGAACUGCAUUUGAAACUGUUGGUCUUGAGUAUCGGAGAGGCAGGCGGAAUUCCUAGUGUAGCGGUGAAAUGCGUAGAUAUUAGGAGGAACACCAGUGGCGAAGGCGGCCUGCUGGACGACAACUGACGGUGAGG
rnacentral:rRNA from 1 species